UGAGGAAUAUUGCGCAAUGGGCGAAAGCCUGACGCAGCGACGCCGCGUGGGGGAUGAAGGUCUUCGGAUUGUAAACCCCUUUCGGGAGGGAAGACGGCCUUAGACAACUAAGGCGGACGGUACCUCCAGAAGCAGCCACGGCUAACUUCGUGCCAGCAGCCGCGGUAAUACGAAGGUGGCAAGCGUUGUUCGGAUUUACUGGGCGUAAAGGGAGCGUAGGUGGUUAGGUAAGCCCUCCGGGAAAUCUUCAGGCUUAACCUGAAAAGGUCGGGGGGGACUGCCUGGCUAGAGGACGGGAGAGGAGCGCGGAAUUCCCGGUGUAGCGGUGAAAUGCGUAGAGAUCGGGAGGAAGGCCGGUGGCGAAGGCGGCGCUCUGGAACGUUUCUGACACUGAGGCUCGAAAGCGUGGGGAGCAAACAG
rnacentral:rRNA from 1 species